rnacentral:rRNA from 1 species
CUACGGAGGGUGCAAGCGUUACUCGGAAUCACUGGGCGUAAAGCGCGCGCAGGCGGUCUUUUAAGUUGGAUGUGAAAGCCUACGGCUCAACCGUAGAACUGCAUCCAAAACUAUUAGACUAGAGUGUGUGAGGGGAAGAUGGAAUUAGUUGUGUAGGGGUAAAAUCCGUAGAGAUAACUAGGAAUACCAAAAGCGAAGGCAAUCUUCUGGAACACUACUGACGCUGAGGCGCGAAAGCGUGGGGAGCAAACAGGAUUAGAAACCCUAGUAGUCC